rnacentral:rRNA from 1 species
GUCCUUUUGAAUUUAUAUUUAAGGUCUAACCUGCCCACUGAAAUUUUAAAUGGCCGCAGUAAUUUGACUGUGCAAAGGUAGCAUAAUCAUUAGUUUUUUAAUUAAAAGCUUGUAUGAAAGGUUGGACGAGGUAAAAUCUGUCUCUAUUUAAAUUAAUAUAGAAUUUAAUUUUUAAGUUAAAAAGCUUAAAUAUUAUUAAAAGACGAGAAGACCCUAUAGAGCUUUAUAAUUUUUAGAUUAAAAUUUAUAAGGAAUAUUUUACGUUUUAUUUUAAAAAUUAUUUUAUUGGGGUAAUAGAAAGAUUAAAAAAAUUCUUUUUAAAUAUUAACAUUAAUUUAUGAUUUAUAUGAUCCAAUUUUAUUGAUUAUAAGAUUAAGUUACCUUAGGGAUAACAGCGUAAUUUUUUUAGAGAGUUCAUAUCGAUAAAAAAGUUUGCGACCUCGAUGUUGGAUUAAAAAUUAUUUUAGGUGUAGAAGCUUGAAAUUUUGGUCUGUUCGACCAUUAAAUUUUUACAUGAUCUGAGUUCAGACCGGUGUAAGCCAGGUCGGUUUCUAUCUUUAAUAAAAUAAAAUAUUUUAGUACGAAAGGACCAAAUAUUUGAUAUAUUUAUAUUUAAUUUUUUGAAUAUUAUUAAAA